AGCUUCUGGAAGCUGGUUGCGGUU
rnacentral:siRNA from 1 species